rnacentral:rRNA from 1 species
UUGCUAUCUUAGUGGCGGACGGGUGAGUAACGCGUGGGUAACCUGCCUUGCACUGGGGGAUAACACUUAGAAAUAGGUGCUAAUACCGCAUAACAGGAGAAGACGCAUGUCUUUUCCUUAAAAACUCCGGUGGUGUAAGAUGGACCCGCGUCUGAUUAGCUUGUUGGCGGGGUAACGGCCCACCAAGGCGACGAUCAGUAGCCGGCCUGAGAGGGUGAACCGGCCACAUUGGGACUGAGACACGGCCCAAACUCCUACGGAAGGCAGCAG